CCUGCUGGCACAGGGGUUUAAACCUCUCUGCCACCAGGGCUCUCAGAUGUUUGACUACAACUCCUAUAUUCCUCAUAAUUUGACAUUCCAACUAGAGCUGAUGGAAGUUAUGAUACACUAAUGUUUGGAAGGCUGCAGUUUGCUCUGUUCAGUCAGGAUAGUUGUUUUUGAAUUUCGAUGGCUGUUAUCAAUGUAGCAGUGAGUUGCAUAUCGGAUUUCCCGUGCCUCGUCAAUGGCCUUUUGCACCUCAACUAAUACAUCCUUGGUGAGGAAGGUGAGGCGUCGGGACUCUUCUACAGCUGCCGCACACUCUAGACGGCAGAGAUAGGGAAAGCGAGAGGAGAUAUGAACUCUUCUUAAAUAUGUUUUAGUUGGUUGAAAUAUAUCACACCUCAGUGUCUGUUGGGGUUUUUUCAUUAAUUUAUUUUAUUUUUACCAAUGGACUAUACUCUGACAUGUUGCCAUUAAACGAUCUACUCUUUUAAGAAAUC